rnacentral:tRNA from 1 species
GCCUUCGUCAUGUAACGGUAGCACACUCGGCGCGUAUUCAAGAGGUCCAGGUUCGAAUCCCGGCGAGGGCA